UCCUUAGGGGCCGAGCGUUGUCCGGAGUUAUUGGGCGUAAAGCGCGCGCAGGCGGCUUCGCGCGCCCGACGUGAAAGCCCCCGGCUUAACCGGGGAGAGUCGUUGGGGACGGCGGAGCUUGAGGGCGGGAGAGGUCGGUGGAAUUCCCGGUGUAGUGGUGGAAUGCGUAGAGAUCGAGAGGAACACCGGUGGCGAAGGCGGCCUUCUGGACAGUGACUGACGCUGAGACGCGAAAGCGUGGGGAGCAAACAGG
rnacentral:rRNA from 1 species